UACAGAGGGGGCGAGCGUUGUUCGGAAUUAUUGGGCGUAAAGAGCUCGUAGGCGGUCUGUCGCGUCUGCUGUGAAAUCUCAGGGCUUAACCCUGAGCUUGCAGUGGGUACGGGCAGACUAGAGUGCGGUAGGGGAGACUGGAAUUCCUGGUGUAGCGGUGAAAUGCGCAGAUAUCAGGAGGAACACCGGUGGCGAAGGCGGGUCUCUGGGCCGUAACUGACGCUGAGGAGCGAAAGCAUGGGGAGCGAACAGG
rnacentral:rRNA from 1 species